rnacentral:rRNA from 1 species
CCUACGGGUGGCUGCAGUGAGGAAUAUUGGUCAAUGGCCGAGAGGCUGAACCAGCCAAGUCGCGUGAGGGAAGAAUGUCCUAUGGAUUGUAAACCUCUUUUAUCAGGGAGUAAAGUCACCCACGUGUGGGUGUUUGUGAGUACCUGAUGAAAAAGCAUCGGCUAACUCCGUGCCAGCAGCCGCGGUAAUACGGAGGAUGCGAGCGUUACCCGGAUUUAUUGGGUUUAAAGGGUGCGUAGGGGGAUUAUAAAGUCAGCGGUAAAAUCGUGGAGCUCACCUGCAUCCAGCCGUUGAAACUGAUGUUCUUGAGUGGGCGAGAAGUAUGCGGAAGGCGUGGUGUAGCGGUGAAAUGCAUAGAUAUCACGCAGAACUCCGAUUGCGAAGGCAGCAGACUGGCGCGCGACUGACGCUGAAGCACGAAAGCGUGGGUAUCGAACAGGAUUAGAUACCCCGGUAGUA